rnacentral:rRNA from 1 species
UACGGAGGGGGCAAGCGUUGUCCGGAUUUAUUGGGCGUAAAGAGCGUGUAGGCGGUUAGGUAGGUCCGAUGUGAAAACUCGAGGCUCAACCUCGAGACGCCGAUGGAAACCAUCUGACUAGAGUCCGGAAGAGGAGAGUGGAAUUCCUGGUGUAGCGGUGAAAUGCGCAGAUAUCAGGAAGAACACCCGUGGCUAAGGCGGCUCUCUAGUACGUGACUGACGCUGAGACGCGAAAGCGUGGGGAGCAAACAGG